CUCACCGGUGACCCUCAGCGAAACAUCGCGGUGGAGGUCGGUGACGUGCAUCUUCAGCUCCCACGUCCCGUCGGCGUAGCAGCCAUCCGGCAUCCGGAUCCCGUCCAGCGCCAUUCCUCUCAACAGAAAAAAAUUACAAAAACUUCACCCGCAAUCAUUUGGAGGGUCACGGAGGAAAUCAUAACACAGCGCAAGAACGAUCAUCAUGAGGAGGAGGAGGAGGAGAUGUCAUACGGCGAUUAAAGGUUGCUUCCAGCAAUUUCAAUGGCAUUAGAAAGACAGUCAUACCGGUUCCUGGUGUGGCGCAGUUGCUCCAGCAGAUGCCUCUCCUCGUA